ACCCCAGUUCAGGCGAGGCU
rnacentral:rRNA from 1 species